rnacentral:rRNA from 1 species
UACAGAGACUGCAAGCGUUAUUCGGAUUCACUGGGCGUAAAGGGUGCGCAGGCGGCCAAGUGUGUUAGGCGUGAAAGCCCGGGGCUUAACCCCGGAAUUGCACCUAAAACUACAUGGCUAGAGCAUUGGAGAGGGUAGCGGAAUUCACGGUGUAGCAGUGAAAUGCGUAGAUAUCGUGAGGAACACCAGAGGCGAAGGCGGCUACCUGGACAAUUGCUGACGCUCAGGCA